UACGUAGGGGGCAAGCGUUGUCCGGAUUCAUUGGGCGUAAAGAGCGUGUAGGCGGCCAAACAGGUCCGUUGUGAAAACUGGAGGCUCAACCUCCAGACGUCGACGGAAACCGUGUGGCUAGAGUCCGGAAGAGGAGAGUGGAAUUCCUGGUGUAGCGGUGAAAUGCGCAGAUAUCAGGAAGAACACCAAUGGCGAAGGCAGCCUCUCGUGGGACGGUACUGACGCUGAGACGCGAAAGCGUGGGGAGCGAACAGG
rnacentral:rRNA from 1 species